rnacentral:rRNA from 1 species
AUGGAAAGAACUUUGAAAAGAGAGUGAAAAGCACUUGAAACCGUCACGGGGGAAGCGGAUUGCGUGAGUGAUGGUGUCGCUUGUUCAGCGCUUUAUUGCGUGCAUUCUGGCGGCGCCGUGCCGGCGUGGCUGGCUGGACUGUGAAUUUGACAGUCUCGGCUGGUGAGGGCUCCCUCGUAUGAGGUGAGGACGCGGGCAAAAUGACGCAAUACGACCCGUCUUGAAACACGGACCAAGGAGUCUAGCACGGCUGCGAGUCGAAGAGUGAUUAAACUCAAGGGCGCAGUGAAAGCGAAAUUAUAAGCAAAUUGGGGAGGCGUUGCGUUUUUAACAAAAUGUCCUACCUCGAGCAUUUGUGCUGGGACCCGAAAGAUGGUGAACUAUGCCGGAGUAGGGCAAAGCCAGAGGAAACUCUGGUGGAGGCUCGUAGCGAUGCUGACGUGCAAAUCGCUCGUCGAACUUGGGUAUAGGGGCGAAAGACUAAUCGAACCAUCUAGUAGCUGGUUCCCUCCGAAGUUUCUCUCAGGAUAGCGGGCCGACACGCGUUUGUUGUUUUGUGC